rnacentral:rRNA from 1 species
UACGGGGGGGGCAAGCGUUGUUCGGAAUUACUGGGCGUAAAGGGCGUGUAGGCGGCCAUCUAAGUCGGACGUGAAAUCCCUCGGCUUAACCGAGGAACUGCGUCCGAUACUGAAAGGCUUGAAUCCGGGAGAGGGAUGUGGAAUUCCAGGUGUAGCGGUGAAAUGCGUAGAUAUCUGGAGGAACACCGGUGGCGAAGGCGGCAUCCUGGACCGGCAUUGACGCUGAGGCGCGAAAGCUAGGGAGCAAACGGG